CACACCCUAAUUGUAUGUCAAUGAAUGUCGUUUAUCUUUGGGCCAUGUGCCUAUAAACCUAAUACAACUUUCAACAACGGAUCUCUUGGCUCUCGCAUCGAUGAAGAACGCAGCGAAAUGCGAUAAGUAAUGUGAAUUGCAGAAUUCAGUGAAUCAUCGAAUCUUUGAACGCACCUUGCGCCCCUUGGUAUUCCGAGGGGCAUGCCUGUUUGAGUGUCAUUAAAUUCUCAACCUAUAAAGGCUUUUGAAGUCAUUAUGGGCUUGGAUUGUUGGGGGCUGCUGGCUCAUUAGAGUCAGCUCUCCUUAAAUGCAUUAGCAGGACUCUAUUGCCUCUGCGCAUGGUGUGAUAAUUAUCUACACCAGUUGCAUGUAAUACUAUAAUGUGUCCAGCUCUCUAAUCGUCUUCGGACAGUUAUUGACCAUUGACCUCAAAUCAGG
rnacentral:rRNA from 1 species